rnacentral:snoRNA from 1 species
AAUGAAUGAUGACAACAUGUUUCGGUCCCAGAUGACACUAAGUGAUUAUACUCUCCCAUUUUCUGACAUU